ensembl:lncRNA
ACGGGCGGUUCCUGCGAUCUGGCUUUCCCUGGCGUCUUGCACCAGCCCUCCCUUUGUGGGUUGCAUAGUUCCCAGGAACCUGUCAGCUCUUUAGCCUUUUUCCUGCAAAUACAUUUCCGUGAGUGCCGGCUAGAUGAGGCUCACAUGGCCUCAGGUCCGUGCUGCACGCCAUAAGGAAUAGUAGUCCCUAAAUGCAUACGCUUUUGGAGUUGUCCUCUGCCCUCACCGAGAUUGCAAAACGUUAAAGGCAAAAAUGAAUCGAGCCUUUGACGGCAGUGUGCUGAGAGUUUUCCUUGUAAUCGCUCAUGUACUCUUGGCAACUUUAAUUGCUGAGCUGCCUUUCUGGAAAGUUUCUUCCUUGAUUUCUAUCACCUUGCAUCAUCUGCUUUCCUCUCAGACGGACCAUUCAGAAUACUCACUACCCAUGACGUCUGACUCAGAUUCCAUCUCCGAGGAAUCCUUCCAAAACCUUCCAGCUAUUAGACGUCAUCCUCCUAUUGUAUUGUGUGUCUUUAUUAUUGUGUUUUUCACAGUCAGCCCUGUCCACUAGUUUGUGACUGCUUGGAGGGUAUUGACUUUAGCUUAUUUCUCUGUAUGUUCCAAAACUCAUCACUGUGCUUCUGUUAAAAAUAAUAAAUGCUGGAUAUACUUGUU